rnacentral:rRNA from 1 species
UACGGAGGGUGCGAGCGUUGUCCGGAAUCAUUGGGCGUAAAGGGUGUGUAGGCGGUUGUUUAAGUUUGGUGUGAAAUCUCCCGGCUCAACUGGGAGGGUGCGCCGAAUACUGAAUGACUUGGAGUGCGGGAGAGGUGAGUGGAAUUCCUGGUGUAGCGGUGAAAUGCGUAGAUAUCAGGAGGAACACCGGUGGUGUAGACGGCUCACUGGACCGUAACUGACGCUGAGACACGAAAGCGUGGGUAGCAAACAGG